rnacentral:tRNA from 1 species
GGGCCCGUAGCUCAGCCAGGUAGAGGAUUGUCCGCUUAAAGCGCCGGGCUUUUAACCCGGAGGUCCCGGGUUCGAAUCCCGGCGGGCCCGCCA